rnacentral:lncRNA from 1 species
GACAGGUAUUCGUAUCGCCACGGCGCCCAGCCCAGGUGCCUCCUACAUCUGUGUUCUACACUGGUCCCUGAAACUGCCACAGAUCAAGACAUCUUCAUUUUCAGGUGCACUGGGAUUACCAAAGGAUGUCAGCACAACACUCAAAUUAACUGGCCUGAUCCUGUUCUAGAUUUGCCAUUUACUACACUUGGAGAAAGAUUGGGCCCAAUGUUUGCAUGUUAACUGUUGAUUCUGGAAUAUAAACAAUUUCCCCCCAAAUAGAAUUAAAGCCAGUGCAAGAUUGUGC